UUUUAGCACAUGUAUUCUUACUUAUAAGCCAUUUUCUUCACUUUGAAAUUAAAUUUCUGUUUCAUUCCUAUCUGUCUCUCUAUGCUCUGCUCAGCUUCAGCCCCUCACAGGUUGAGAUCAGCUUUGUCCCAUUAACAAGGUCUAAAAGUGCUUUUCAUCCUUCAUUCCUACUGUUUUCAUCAUUUCAGGGUCUUCAUCAGAAAGGAGUCACAGAAGCCUGAAAAAUUGUCUGCCAAGAUUCUCCAUGACAUUAAUUUCCCUUUUUCUACUAUGACUGAAAGAAAUGUGUGGGCAGAAGUGGGCAAAUUGUUUUUUAUAUCAUAAACCUUGACCUCCCUUUAAUGAGAAUUCAUGGUCUUUGAAAUUUGAACCCCAAGACAAAAUAAAAAUAGUGCUUUAAUA